UGACAUGCAGAGAAGAUACAAACUUUCCUGGCUUGCGGUAACCUGAGAGAUUUUCACUUUCCUCUUGCAGCCACGGAACCCCUCAGGAUGCCAGCACCUACCCUUUCUCAAUCCUGUGUGAUUCACACUGAUCCAGUCCCCUCACUCUGUCCACAUUGAUGAGUAACUUACUCAAUGUCCCACUUGUACACCUGGGUCUAUCUGUUUUCUCUUUUUCUUUUUUCUUUUGAGACGAGUUCUCACUCUGUGUCCCAGGCCUCCCAAAGUACUGGGAUUACAGGGGUGAGCCACCGUGCCCGGCCGGUAGGGCCUUUUUAGAGGGCAAAAUUAGCAACAUAUCGUUUUCCCAGCAGUUCCAUUUUUCGGAAGUUAAGCUACAGAUAAUAUGCUGGGUCUCAGGACGCACUGGGGGAUGUUAACUGCUGCCCUGUUUACAGCAAACACUGGAGACAAUCUGGCUGCUCAUAAUAGGCGAUGGAUAAAAACAUGAUGGUGAAGUCUGAUGGGACCAUGGAGCCUCAGCUCAUAGGUGAUGCCAUCUCCUGCCACCUCCCUCCCUCCCUCUAGGGGAAAUAGUUCUUGGUCAUCCUGCAUUUGAGUGUUGUGGGGCCCCCACUCAACCUCAGCCCAGUGAUUAUUGCCACGCUUUAUCUCUGGUGGGGGCCUGGAUCAGGCAUGGUGAGCCAGAAUUAAUCAGGCCCCGGCUUACCUGAUACAGAGGAGACACACCUGUGUUCCUUUGGCACAGACAUUCUGGAGUCCCAGUGCCCAGGAAAGAAGACGGGAGGCAGUAGCAGAGCCUGGGAGAGAUGGCCUGAGGAUGUUGUGAUGGAAGACUGUAUAUGAUCAUAUGCACUGCUGUCCAGUCUGCAGAGCCAUGUGGGGGCAAGAAGCAGAGGCAAGGAGCUGCCUGCAUGUGGGCUCUGCUUCUCUAUCCCUCACUCCGUCUCCUCCGCUGCAAAAAGAGGACAGCAAUAGCACCUGCUGCAGAGGGGUAUGUGAGAAUUAAAAGCUACUAAAGAGUAUCCCAAAAGUCCUAGAGCAGUUUUAAGUUUUAAUAACUGUGAAAGUACAAGUACUACAAACAUAUAAAAAAAGCCAGCUGAGUGCAGUGGCUCUAGCCUGUAAUCCCAGUA
rnacentral:lncRNA from 1 species